ACUGCUCAGUAACACGUGGACAACCUGCCCUUAGGUUGGGUAUAAACCCGGGAAACUGGGUAUAAUACCCGAUAGGUCUCGAUUGCUGGAAUGCAUCGAGAUUUAAAGCUCCGGCGCCUAAGGAUGGGUCUGCGGCCUAUCAGGUAGUAGUGGGUGUAGCGUACCUACUAGCCUACGACGGGUACGGGUUGUGAGAGCGAGAGCCCGGAGAUGGAUUCUGAGACACGAAUCCAGGCCCUACGGGGUGCAGCAGGCGCGAAAACUUUACAAUGCUGGCAACAGCGAUAAGGGAACCUCGAGUGCCAGGUUACAAAUCUGGCUGUCGAGAUGCCUAAAAAGCAUUUCAUAGCAAGGGCCGGGCAAGACCGGUGCCAGCCGCCGCGGUAACACCGGCGGCUCGAGUGGUAACCGUUAUUAUUGGGUCUAAAGGGUCUGUAGCCGGCCGGAUAAGUCUCUUGAGAAAUCUGGCAGCUUAACUGUCAGGCUUUCAGGAGAUACUGUCUGGCUCGAGGCCGGGAGAGGUGAGAGGUACUUCAGGGGUAGGGGUGAAAUCUUGUAAUCCUUGAAGGACCACCAGUGGCGAAGGCGUCUCACCAGAACGGACCUGACGGCAAGGGACGAAAGCUAGGGGCACGAACCGGAUUAGAUACCCGGGUAGUCCUAGCCGUAAACUAUACUCGCUAGGUGUCGGCCACGGUGCGACCGCUGUCGGUGCCGUAGGGAAGCCGUGAAGCGAGCCACCUGGGAAGUACGGCCGCAAGGCUGAAACUUAAAGGAAUUGGCGGGGGAGCAC
rnacentral:rRNA from 1 species